ACGAAGCGAGAAGUGGACUCGCCUGCCCCACGGCGUCCGGCCCUCCGCGAGCACCCGAGGGGGUUCGGGCCUCGGACCCGGUCCGAUCCCGUCCCCGCAUCGGGGCUGUCUGCGAAAGGAGGUGUCCUCGGACGGAGUCGAACUCAUUCUCCGGUCCGCGACGCUACGGCUUGGAUGGUCCACCCGACCCGUCUUGAAACACGGACCAAGGAGUCUAACAUGCGCGCGAGUCGUUGGGUCGGACACGCUCCGCUAAACCCAUAGGCGCAAUGAAAGUGAAGGCCGCCGCGAGGGCGGCCGAGGGAGGACGGGGCCGCGGGAGCGGUCCCCGCACCCCCGGGGCGUCUGAUCCCUCACCGCGAGGGGAGGCGCACCCAGAGCGCACACGUUGGGACCCGAAAGAUGGUGAACUAUGCCUGGCCAGGACGAAGUCAGGGGAAACCCUGAUGGAGGUCCGUAGCGAUUCUGACGUGCAAAUCGAUCGUCGGAGCUGGGUAUAGGGGCGAAAGACUAAUCGAACCAUCUAGUAGCUGGUUCCCUCCGAAGUUUCCCUCAGGAUAGCUUGCGCUCGGAGGAGAGUCUCAUCCGGUAAAGCGAAUGAUUAGAGGCCUUGGGGCCGAAACGGCUUCAACCUAUUCUCAAACUUUAAAUGGGUGAGAACUCCGGCUUGCUCGAUUACUCGAAGCCGGAGACGGGGACCCYCGUGUCCCCCGGGAUCGGAGUGCACAGUGGGCCACUUUUGGUAAGCAGAACUGGCGCUGUGGGAUGAACCAAACGACGGGUUAAGGCGCCCGAAUCGACGCUCAUGGGAAACCAUGAAAGGUGUUGGUUGCUUAAGACAGCAGGACGGUGGCCAUGGAAGUCGGAAUCCGCUAAGGAGUGUGUAAUAACUCACCUGCCGAAGCAACUAGCCCUGAAAAUGGAUGGCGCUGAAGCGUCGUGCCUAUACCCGGCCGUCGCCGCAAGACGGACCCGGCCCCGCGCCGGGUGCCGCCUGACGCGGCGACGAGUAGGAGGGUCGCGGCGGCGAGCGCAGAAGGGUCUGGGCUCGAGCCUGCCUGGAGCCGCCGCCGGUGCAGAUCUUGGUGGUAGUAGCAAAUACUCCAGCGAGGCCCUGGAGGACUGAUGUGGAGAAGGGUUUCGUGUGAACAGCCGUUGCACACGAGUCAGUCGAUCCUAAGCCCUAGGAGAAAUCCGACGCCAACGGCGACGGGAGAAAAAAUUGAAGGUUAGAGACCCGUUGAUCGGGCGAAAGGGAAUCCGGUUCCUAUUCCGGAACCCGGCAGCGGAACCGCUGUUUGUCGGGCCCUCACAAGGGGUUCGUCAGGGUAACCUAAAAGGGCCCGGAGACGCCGUCGGGAGCCCCGGAAAGAGUUUUCUUUUCUGCAUGAGCGUUCGAGUUCCCUG
rnacentral:rRNA from 1 species